UUGAAAUUUACAAUUAUGACCAAAUAUGAAGAUUUAAUUUGAAGUUAUUUAUAAAUACUCCAUUAAUUAACAAUAGUAGUAGUAUUAAUCUGGUUAGAGAUCAACGAACUUGCAAGCCCAUUUAUCUCUGGGCCAGAAGAUUCUAGGGUCCAUAUAUAAUAUAACAACUCUUGAAAAUUCAAGAACCUUCGUCCUUGAAAACGAAAAUUAUCAAUAAAUGAAUUAAUAAUCUAUGUUCAUAUCCUAAUUCUAGAACGGUGCAGCUUGAGUCCGCUCUCAAUUCGUGAAAAUUAAUAUUUGAAGGAACAACAGGGUUUUCGCGCGCAUGAUUGCUUCUUCGCGGCCGUUAGCGACCAAAUUCCGGCCCAUCUAUUCUUCCAAAGGAAGAUGGGGUAAUUCAAUUGUUUCUGAUUAUCAUCAAUUUUUUAUUGAUUUAGAAUGAAAAAUGCACGAUUAUAACUAGGCGAUUGCCCUAAUUUUGCAUCAGUGGGCACAAUGAUGCCUAGAAAACAAGGAAAUGAAGAUGGUGGUGAAGCAUGCGUAAAUAAGGGAGAGGCUGAACCCAUUGUCACUUUCAGCAGGCCACCGCCGCUGCCUCCGGUUCUCGGAUCAUUGGUAGCCAUCUCAAUGCUCGAAUCUCUGAAUAAGGCGGAUAACAAUGACGACUGAUAGGUGACAUGUAAUCCUCUUUUUCUCUACUAGUUAUUGACUGUGUAAUGUGGAUUACAUGUGAAAAAUCUUUGCUAGGUAAUAGAGAAUUUUGAGGGUAGUGCUUAGAAUGCAAGCUGUGAGGUUUAGUAGCUUGAUGUACCAGGCCAGGAACGGGGUUAUCACGGGCUGUACGCCUAUGUUGUAUGCCUUUAGUAGUAGUCGGAACAUAGUAUGCGGACUCUUUAAGAACCCUGCAUGAGCAGGUGAUGUUGUGUUAGUAGGAUGUGUAUAACAGUUGAGAAUGGGAAAUGGGAAUGCUUGCAUACACUCUGUA